rnacentral:rRNA from 1 species
GAUGAACGCUAGCUACAGGCUUAACACAUGCAAGUCGAGGGACCGGCGCACGGGUGAGUAACACGUAUCCAACCUGCCCUUUACUCGGGGAUAGCCUUUCGAAAGAAAGAUUAAUACCCGUUCUAAAGGAUGGGGAUGCGUUCCAUUAGGUUGUUGGUGUGGUAACGGCCCACCAAGCCUUCGAUGGAUAGGGGUUCUGAGAGGAAGGUCCCCCACAUUGGAACUGAGACACGGUCCAAACUCCUACGAGAGGCAGCAGUGAGGAAUAUUGGGCAAUGGGCGUUAGCCUGAACCAGCCAAGUAGCGUGAAGGAGUAAGGCUUAUGGGUCGUAAACUUCUUUUAUAUAAGAAUAUGUAUUAUAUGAAUAAGGAUCGGCUAACUCCGUGCCAGCCGCCGCGGUAAUAC